GCUCCUUGAGAGCAGGGCCCAUAUCUUAACUUUUAUCAGGGAUUAGCACCUUGUGCACAACAGGUGCUCCUCAAGUCUUUUACCAUCUAGAUCGGAACAGCACACG